rnacentral:lncRNA from 1 species
CUCUAGGUGCCCAGAUGGGACUCCCCUGCUGCAACGUGGCCAUGACUGGUCAGCAAAGGGCCGGGGUCUUCCAAGGCCGAGCUGUCGGGACCAAGCCUGACUUCAUCAGUGGGGAAGGUGGGGGGAGUGUGACUCAGAGCCACCAUCGGGGCUCUUUUUUUUUUAGAUGUUAUUUUUUUAAUAAAUAGAAGCCACACCACUUCGUCUGUUACAGCAAAUGAGAGGCAAGAAUCGAAGAGGGCCCCAGAAAGCAUUUUCAUCCACAAAAAUAACAGAAAGGACAAGCAUCUUCACCACCCAUGCCUCUGGUUAGUUCUUUCGACUGCUGUUCCCCUACCCACAUCAGUAUGUUGUUUCCAGGAUGGGACUGUCUUCGAGUCUUCUACUGGUUGGGACGCUAGUCUAUCAGCUUGCCUUAACCACAGAAUGGAAGUCUCUAACUUAGCUGAGAAACCUGGACAGGUCUUCUUUGAUUUCAGCCUCAUCCCAAGGCCCAUGAAUGUUUUCUUUAAAAACCUGCAGGCGAAGAGGUAGAAAGGGUGGAGACAAGAGAUGGAAACCAGCAGAAGGGCAAAGAGGAUGGCUCCCACAGCACCAAUGGACAGUAAACCUCCCAAGGCUGAAAAUGCGAAAAGCAACGUGACUCCCACAUAGCUGCAUGGAGUACGUGCCUUCAGUUUCUUCUCUAACAUGGGCCACAGGGCAAAAAUCUGGAUGGCAAAUGUCACCAUGAUGAAAGCAUGCAGGGACCAGGCCAACACCAUCGGGGGCCCUUGGGCUUUCCGUCCACGAGUGAAAAUCAGCCUGGAGAAAAUCGGUACGAUGCUGCGGUGGGAGAAAUUCAGCGCGCUUAGCUGUCCCACUCCUCUGGCUGCUACUGUGUUAAGGACCUGGUGCCAUCUGAGAGUCUGUGCCAUUUGCAUCAUCUGGAGGGAGAGGAGAACCGGGGGCACUGCAGCUGGGGUCUUGGUGUGCCUGCAGUGGGCCGGCUGCAUGGCCUGCACCCGCACUUGCUGGACGAGUGAA